GAUGAACGCUAGCUACAGGCUUAACACAUGCAAGUCGAGGGGAAACGACAUCGAAAGCUUGCUUUUGAUGGGCGUCGACCGGCGCACGGGUGAGUAACGCGUAUCCAACCUGCCCAUCACUUGGGAAUAACCUUGCGAAAGUAAGACUAAUACCCAAUGACAUCCCACGAAGACAUCUGAAUGGGAUUAAAGAUUUAUCGGUGAUGGAUGGGGAUGCGUCUGAUUAGCUUGUUGGCGGGGUAACGGCCCACCAAGGCAACGAUCAGUAGGGGUUCUGAGAGGAAGGUCCCCCACAUUGGAACUGAGACACGGUCCAAACUCCUACGGGAGGCAGCAGUGAGGAAUAUUGGUCAAUGGGCGAGAGCCUGAACCAGCCAAGUAGCGUGCAGGAUGACGGCCCUAUGGGUUGUAAACUGCUUUUAUAAGGGAAUAAAGCGGGUCUCGUGAGACUUUUUGCAUGUACCUUAUGAAUAAGAACCGGCUAAUUCCGUG
rnacentral:rRNA from 1 species